CUGCAAUGAAGGAACCCCUGGGCUUUAGAAGUGUCAAAGACCCGGCUCUCUGGUGGGACCCAACAAGCUUCUAGAAGGCAGCAAACAGGCCCUGGCAUGGUACUCAGAACGUAGAGUCAUAUAAUGGUAGAGACAAAAGGGAUCCUAGAUGUCAUCUAAUCCAGAGAUUCUCUACCAGGAAGGGGUAGGGGUGAAGAAUGGGAAGUGCUUCAACAGGCAGAAAGGCAGGAGAAUAUCCCAGGAAUUUCUGACCAAUACGAACUUUUCUUGCAUGUAUCUUCAUGAC